GACGAACGCUGGCGGCGUGCUUAACACAUGCAAGUCGAACGGUUAAGCGCCUUCCUUUUUGGUGGGUGUGGAUGAGUGGCGAACUGGUGAGUAACACGUUAGUAACCUUCCCCCCUCUUCUUGAUAACCGCAUGAAAGUGUUGCUAAUACUGGAUAUUCUGGGUCUGUCGCAUGAUUGGUCUGGGACAGUUUUUGUUUCGGUGGUUGAUGGGCUCGCGUCGUAUCAGCUUGUUGGUGGGGUGAUGGCGUCCCAAGGCGGUGGUGAGUAGCCGGCGUGAGAGGAGGGUGGGCGGCACAAGUGGGAAGAAGAGACGGAGAAGCCUCCGACGGGAGGCAGAAGGGGGUCUUAUGGAAUAAGGGGAGGCAGGACGGAGCAGCGACGCGUGGGGAGGGAGGGAGGCCUGAGGGUUGUAAACCUUUAUCGGGGAAGAAGAAGGGCGGCAUCGUUUGUGGGCGGGUUGACGGUAGCUGAACAAGAAGCGCCGGCUAACUACGUG
rnacentral:rRNA from 1 species